rnacentral:rRNA from 1 species
CCCUUAGAUGUUCUGGGCCGCACGCGCGCUACACUGAUGCAUUCAACGAGCCUAUCCUUGACCGACAGGUCCGGGUAAUCUUUGAAUCUGCAUCGUGACGGGGAUAGAUUAUUGCAAUUAUUAAUCUUCAACGAGGAAUGCCUAGUAGGCGCAAGUCAUCAGCUUGCGUCGAUUACGUCCCUGCCCUUUGUACACACCGCCCGUCGCUCCUACCGAUUGGGUGUGCUGGUGAAAUGUUCGGAUCGGCCGUUUGUCGCGGUUUCCGCGUCAUGUGGCUGAGAAGUUCAUUAAACCCUCCCACCGAGAGGAAGGAGAAGUCGCAACA